rnacentral:rRNA from 1 species
CUACGUGCCAGCAGCCGCGGUAAUACGUAGGUGGCAAGCGUUGUCCGGAAUUAUUGGGCGUAAAGCGCGCGCAGGCGGAUUGGUCAGUCUGUCUUAAAAGUUCGGGGCUUAACCCCGUGAUGGGAUGGAAACUGCCAAUCUAGAGUAUCGGAGAGGAAAGUGGAAUUCCUAGUGUAGCGGUGAAAUGCGUAGAUAUUAGGAAGAACACCAGUGGCGAAGGCGACUUUCUGGACGAAAACUGACGCUGAGGCGCGAAAGCCAGGGGAGCGAACGGGAUUAGAUACCCCGGUAGUCCUGGCCGUAAACGAUGGGUACUAGGUGUAGGAGGUAUCGACCCCUUCUGUGCCGGAGUUAACGCAAUAAGUACCCCGCCUGGGGAGUACGACCGCAAGGUUGAAACUCAAAGGAAUUGACGGGGGCCCGCACAAGCGGUGGAGUAUGUGGUUUAAUUCGACGCAACGCGAAGAACCUUACCAGGUCU